rnacentral:rRNA from 1 species
AUUGAACGCUGGCGGCAGGCCUAACACAUGCAAGUCGAGCGGGGUUUUCGGACCUAGCGGCGGACGGGUGAGUAAUGCGUAGGAAGCUGCCCGAUAGAGGGGGAUACCAGUUGGAAACGACUGUUAAUACCGCAUAAUGUCUACGGACCAAAGUGUGGGACCUUCGGGCCACAUGCUAUCGGAUGCGCCUACGUGGGAUUAGCUAGUUGGUGAGGUAAUGGCUCACCAAGGCGACGAUCUCUAGCUGGUUUGAGUGGAUGAUCAGCCACACUGGAACUGAGACACGGUCCAGACUCCUACGGGAGGCAGCGGUGGGGAAUAUUGGACAAUGGGCGCAAGCCUGAUCCAGCCAUGCCGCGUGUGUGAAGAAGGCCUUCGGGUUGUAAAGCACUUUCAGCGAGGAGGAAGGGGUGUGUGUUAAUAGUACACACCUUUGACGUUACUCGCAGAAGAAGCACCGGUUAACUCUGUGCCAGCAGCCGCGGUAACAC